UAACACAUGCAAGUCGAGGGGCAGCACGGUGUAGCAAUACACUGGUGGCGACCGGCGCACGGGUGCGUAACGCGUAUGCAACCUACCCAUAACAGGGGGAUAACACUGAGAAAUUGGUACUAAUACCCCAUAACAUCAGGACCGGCAUCGGUUCUGGUUGAAAACUCCGGUGGUUAUGGAUGGGCAUGCGUUGUAUUAGCUGGUUGGUGAGGUAACGGCUCACCAAGGCAACGAUACAUAGGGGGACUGAGAGGUUAACCCCCCACAUUGGUACUGAGACACGGACCAAACUCCUACGGGAGGCAGCAGUGAGGAAUAUUGGUCAAUGGACGCAAGUCUGAACCAGCCAUGCCGCGUGCAGGAAGACGGCUCUAUGAGUUGUAAACUGCUUUUGUACGAGGGUAAACGCUCUUACGUGUAAGAGCCUGAAAGUAUCGUACGAAUAAGGAUCGGCUAACUCCGUGCCAGCAGCCGCGGUAAUACGGAGGAUCCAAGCGUUAUCCGGAUUUAUUGGGUUUAAAGGGUGCGUAGGCGGUUUGAUAAGUUAGAGGUGAAAUACCGGUGCUUAACACCGGAACUGCCUCUAAUACUGUUGAACUAGAGAGUAGUUGCGGUAGGCGGAAUGUAUGGUGUAGCGGUGAAAUGCUUAGAGAUCAUACAGAACACCGAUUGCGAAGGCAGCUUACCAAACUAUAUCUGACGUUGAGGCACGAAAGCGUGGGGAGCAA
rnacentral:rRNA from 1 species